UGCUAAGAGCUGAAAGCUGCUAUCCUCGAAGGGAGCUGCACUUGGCCUAGUCCUGAUUUCUAUCUGCAUAGAGGAAAAGAACCCUCAGCCCACUGGCAACCGUUCUAUGUCACCGAGCUGAAACUAAGCUGUUUAUCUGAUCUUCUGAGAAUAAAAGGCAGAGAGAAAACAGAAGAGUUUUCCCUCACCACAAUAAGGAAGUGCCCUCUGCUUUGACCUUGACAAAGAAAGUUGACAGCAGUCUCGGGCCAUGCUUGAGGUGAUCUGCACAGCCGGGAGUCCUGGGCAUGUGUUCUAUGAAUGCCCUAAAGCCUCUUCAAAGUCUUAAUCAAAGUCCAUGUGGACCACCUACUGGCUGGCAGCCAGUCUUUGAAGAAGAGAGGGAAGAUGGCAAGAAAUGACAAAAUACCCUGUCUCAUCACUAUUUUUCUUCCCUUCUGCCCCCAUCCAAUGCCCUUGACACACCAAAGGGUUGCCCUGAACUUUGGGUAGAUGUGAAUUCCCUUCAAUAGUAGGGUGUUUCUCACCAUCUGAAAUGGGGCACAAGAGGAACUCCUCCCACUGGUGAUCCACAGGGGUGGGAGUGGAAAUUUAGGGGCAGUUUGAGAGACAAUGAAACUAUAAAAACCACAAGGAUCGUUUCUAAAAGCAACCAGGAAAGGAGCUCUGGGCAAUUAGACUUCUCUCUGCACAAAUGUUUGGGUAUCAGCCAUAAACCCCACUGAGCAUUCUUCCCAUCACCACCACCCUGUGGCACUUCUUGCUCCUUCUUUUAGAAACUGUUCUUGGGCCCCAACUGCAGGAGAUGAGAACACUGGAAAACACACCAAAAACUUGGCCAUUUCCCUCUGCUUGCGUGCUGCCAGAUGCUAACAAUUGAAACCAUUUGUCAUUUCUGACAAGCCCAAGGGUCUGCAUUUUAACAGUCUGAGUGUUUUAUUGACAAUCGUCUGUGAGCGUUUACCAGACAAGCUAUUUUAUAAAAACAAGUCCUUCAAAGGCAUACUGCCACAGGAACACCAUUUUUCUAACACGCCUCAUUGGUGGAGGCUGCAGACACCACGGUGGAUUGAGACGUAUGUAGUGUCAAACAGUUUACGAUGUAGGAGAAGACUUUCAGGCUGCUUCGAGGCAGCACUGGUAUUCACAAUUUCAGUGGGCUCAGCCUGGCUCAAGUUGGAGGCUGAGUCAGUCCCUAAAAUAAGGAACAGUGAUGAGGCAUAAGCCUUUCACAGUAGCAAGGCAACUCUGGACAUCUCAUUGCUGUUACCACAAGCUUUGCCUAAGACCAACAAGGAUGAAUAAAACCGUUCGAGAUCUG